rnacentral:sRNA from 1 species
UCGUAUUACGAUUAUGUGAUGAUGACC